rnacentral:lncRNA from 1 species
UGUGCUUGGAUCUCGUCAUAUGUCAAUUGCGCAUCGUUUGUCAUUUAUCAAAACCUACAAAUCUAGCUGAAUUGAUCCAUCACCGUCCUGGGCUACUACAUCAACACAUCACCGUCCUGGGCUACUACAUCUAGCUGAAUUGAUCCAACUGGCUGAGCUGCUGGAGUCUAAAACUGGGGAGUCACCUGCUCUGGAGUGCGGGUAGCAAGAGUCUGGGGCCCUCCUCCAGUCUGAGAGACGGCUGCUACUACAGGAAGCAAAACUGCCCGUAUGAGACUCUCCAUAAGGCCCACUAAACGGACCAGAGCAUCUUGAAGUACUAGGGUAGCAAUGAACCCUUUGGGACCUGAGCUGGUCCUGCUGGAACUGCCUGGGCUGGAGCCUCCUCGUCAAACUCAACUUGAGGCUCUGCCACUAGUGCUGCUGCUCUGGAAUGAUCUAUGCCCCUACCUCGGCCUCUAGCAUGGCUUCGGCCUUGCCGUAUGCCCCUUGUGGGAGUUGCUGCUGGGGGCCAGGGAUGCUGAUCAGCGAAUAAGGAAGUACGUGUCCUCGGCAUCUGCGAGAGAACAUAGUAAAAGUCUAAUUAGAAUUAAGAAACUAAAUCACACAAUAGGAAAGAACAGAUGUGAAGUUUUUUCUUACUCUGUAGCCUAUGGGAAUAAAUACAAACGUCUAUGUACCGACCCCUCAGAAUCUACUAAGCUUGUCUGUUAAUUUUAAGACCUAUACAACCUAUAGCUCUGAUACCAUUUGUGGCGACCUGGAUUUCCACCCUCGGGAGUCAUGAUGGAAUCUACUAGUGAAAACUAGGCAAGCCAACCAACUGAACUAUUUGCCUUGUUUCCAUUUUUAAACCGAUAACUGUUAAGAGCCAACAAUUUGAUAACAACAGAAUUGAAUAAGCGGAAGGCUGCAUUGUAAAGUUUUAAUAAUACUGAUAAUACCAAUCUAUAACAAAUUUACCCAAGACUGGUGUCAAAACUUCACAGACUGUCUAGGAGUUCUACAAUAAAGGUCUAAAAGAAAUAAAUACAAUAUUAUCUCAGGAAAUACAUGAAAGAAACACGAAUAGUAGAUAGAAGAAGACGCAAAGGCCUGAGGAUGCCUGAAGGACUACCUCGGGUCGCCUGAUGAAUAAGAAACAACAAUAUCACUGCUAUCUGAAAUCUACAGCACUGGGAUCUGCACAAAAGAGUGCAGAGUGCAGUAUCAGUACAACCGAACCUAUAUGCUGGUAAUUGUCUAGCCUAACCUCGGCGAAGUAGUGACGAGGCUAGGACCAGACUACCAAAUAAACAUGUGUUGUUAAAUCAUAUACAUCAGAAAUAGACGCAGGUAAUUACAACUAAAGUUGGGAAGGAGCAACAUGAUGCGGGGAGUAACAAAUAACAACAGAACAACAAUAGAGAAAUGUAAGGAAUUCCAUAAAUCAAUUACCGGCAAAGAUAAGGUAAUAAGAAGAACAAGUAUGCAUGUAAUACCAUUGCAGGCGUGCAACCCUAUCUCAUUUGUCAUAUUGUAUAGUUACAGAUUUGAAACCCGUUCCCAUUUUAUGUAUUACCAUUGCAGGUGUGUGUCACACCCCCUUUUUAAAAAAAACAUAAACACUUCAUUAAACCCUCUUAAAUAAAUAAAAACAUUUAAUAAAAGCUUGAAAAGGGUUUCAAUUGAAAAGUGACGAAAAUUUGUUUCAAAAGAAAAAACUCAGAGUCAUCACCUGACAUUUGAUUUCAGUGUGUCAGGUCACCGUUUUUUCAAAAAUAAUUAUUUCCCUUUCAAAACACUUGAGACUCUAAAACUAAGUCGGCACCAGAGAUAUGGGUAAGGGGGUUCAUUUGACUCGGGGAGAAGGUGUUAGGCACUCCCUAAGUCCCGUGAAGGUCACGGUUGCGUACUCAAUCUAGUUGGCUUUUAGAAUAUCCGAUUGAGAUAAAACAAACACAGAAAAAUAAACACACAAAGGGGCUCGACGUCGUCCCCACCUAAUAAAAGAAAAAAUAAGAGUAAAAUACUAUACUAUGCUUCCUUCACAAACGCGUCACGGGCUCAAAAAUAUUUACAAAGUACUUCGGAGCAUACCUCGGCUAAUAAUAUUUACAAACUUUACGGGACAUUCCCCGGAUAUAUUUAACUAAGGGAUGACCUCUCACCUUAAAUCCGAACAUUCUGAAUUAAAAUAAACCUCCUAAAGAUUUGCCUAUCCAAAUGUGACCUUCCUAAAUAUGCUACUAGUGAUUUGAAUAUAAUAUAAACCGUAGAAUAUUUCUAGUGCUCAAACUUCCUUUUCAUUUUUGGACUCCCAAUCUCCACGGUCUAACAUCGUCUUAGUAUUCAUGCCACUAAUAAAUCUAACUAAUUUUGUUAACUUAGUUCUACUGUCAUAAAAAUGUUAAUUCUAAAGCUUAUCGUUCAAUUAAGGGAUAUAGUGGAGAAUCAAAAUUUAUUUUAGCCAUUAAACCCAUCCAAGCAGGGAUUAAACCAACGGACAAGAACAAAUUGAGUGAACAAACAGUAAGACAUCAUUAAAAUAGAGCAAUGAACAUCCAAACAAAUGGGAAACAAUAGAUUAACGAAGAGAUUAAGCACAAACAAUGUAAGAGAGGAAGAAAUAAAUCUUACCGGUGAAAGUCUCUUCCAGAUUAGGGAAAACCCGAAUCUACAUUUUUGUCGGAUGAAGAGCAAUAAUAUUCAACAACCAAAUUGAAUAUUCACGGGAAAAUCAGCAGGACCGCAAAUCGACCUCGAACACCGACUUAAACCAGCUCCAUCUCAGCAGUGAAACUCAAUCCUUACAUCAGAAUUGAGCUGAAAGCUGCCUGAGAUUUGACUAUUUAUAGCAGAAAAUCACGGUCUUGAGUUUUGACCGAUAUUUAAGAAUUAAAACCGAGUGAAAAUAGCCCAAAUUUGAACUUUGGAGAUUCAGUUUCAAGUGACUUGGUUAAGUUCUGAAAAGGGUUGUCCUGGGUGACUGGUCCGUUGAUGUCUGCUGUGCAAUAUUUCCUGCGAGUACGUCGGAAAGGGACUGGGGUGCGGCAGCUUAGGUGUGUGGCUGAUCCUACAGGCUAAGGUUGAAGAACUGGUGGUCGUAGUUCACUGGGGUAGAGUGACGAUGGAGAUGGUCAUUUCCGGCGAGUUUUUGUUUGUAGCGGCGGCAGUCACUGGUCCAUUGAGCUGAAGCUUUUUGCCUUCAAAAAUGGCUGAUAGUUUUGUAUUGCAGGGCUAAAGAAGACGACGAGGAACAGGGGGGAGGAGUCGUUAGGCUCAUGGCUGGUGGUGGCUGUGUGUUUUUUGAAUGUUGAAGAUCAGGUGGUCGUUUGGUGUUAGUGGCUGCGAUGGUUUUUUUUUCAAG